UACGUAGGCAGCAAGCGUUGUUCGGAAUUACUGGGCGUAAAGAGUGUGUAGGUGGUGUUCCAAGUCUGUUGUGAAAUCUCCCGGCUUAACUGGGAGGGUGCGGCGGAAACUGGAAUGCUUGAGGGUGGGAGAGGUAAGCGGAAUUCCUGGUGUAGCGGUGAAAUGCGUAGAUAUCAGGAGGAACACCUGUGGUGUAGACAGCUUACUGGACCACUUCUGACACUGAGACACGAAAGCGUGGGUAGCAAACAGG
rnacentral:rRNA from 1 species